CUCAGUCGGUACAUCAAUACUCGAACUUUCUAGUGUUUUAAAAAACUAUCAAAAAAGAAACAUAUUUCCUAUUAAAAACAGUGUUCAAAAACUAAAGUAAUUAUAACAAAGCAUUUAAUUAUCAACAACAAUAAUUCAUAACAAUAAAGGAAAAAUAGAAAUACUCAAUUAACAUGAUAUAAAUUCAAAAAGUGCUAAAACUAACAAUAUUCCACCAAAAUUUGUUAAUCAUGUAGAAAUGACAGUAAUUAAUAGUGCUACUAGAGAGAAAUCUAAUUAUUAGUUUAAACGCUUAUCAACGAAAAUCUUGUGUCAUCAAGAAAAUAAGUGAUAAAUUCUUCUAAUUCUGGAAAUUAUAAUAAUAUAGAGUAAAAAUUGAAGAAUUUCUCCACGUCGAGUGUGUUGACGUGUAUAAUGGCGACGUGGUUUGGAGAUGGAUUACCAAGUUUAUCUAAUUUAAAGGGACAAAUAACAAAUUUCACAAAGGAAGUACUCUCUGAGGGUAUUGUCGAAGAAAUAGAUGAUCGAUCUAAGCAGCUGAAUGAGGCAAAUGAAAAAUGUGUCGAAUUACAAGAAAUAUUGAAUGCAAAAAAUGCAGAGAUAUCGUUGCUUCGUCGACAGAACAUUGAAUUGCAGAAAACAGUUGUUGAACUAAACGCAGCAAAAUCCAGAGAGCAUAAUGAGGACAGUCAAGACGAUGGCGGAGGAUUUUAUUGGGACCCACGAACUGUUAAUAAUCGGGAACCAGAAAGUCAAAAACAAUCGCGAUUACUUCAGGAGCAAUUAUCUCGAGCCUCCGUAAAAAUUUCUGAAUUGGAGACAGAAUUGAAACGUCUACAAAAUGGAAAUACUAUGAAUGGAACGAGUAUAAAGGAAGAAAUCGCUGAAGGCCAUCAAAAGACGGAACUUCUUCGAGCAAAACAAGACUUGAUGAAUCGCAUUAUUCAAAUGGGUGAAAAGAGAGCAGAGAAAAAUACGAGACGAAAUGAUGAAGCAGAAGUUGUGAAAGAUUUUCAGAAAGCAAUGUCUAAAUUAAAAUCGUCGGAGCAAUUAGAAUUGAUUAAAAGUGCACUUCAGGCUCUUGAAAACGAAAACGAAAAAUUGAAAGCGACCAAAAAUGAAGAGAAAAUUGACGUUCAAGAAAAAUCGGUUAAAUUAAAUUCCGAUGGAUUCGAGGCUGUACCAUUAAUUGUCGGUUAUGAGGAAAAUUCAAAUAAUCGCCCAAAAAUUGAGGAAACCCAUUCGAUGGAUGAAUUCAAAAAACGAGAAUUUGAAUUAAAUAAAAAAAUUCAGGAGUUACAAGACGAAAAUCGAAUUUUAAGUAACAGCGUCGAUGAAUUGGAUCAACAACAUUCAGAAUCUAUGGAUAAAGUUUUGUCCUUAAAAGAGGAACUCCAAAAAAAGCACAAGUGCCUUCAAACUGCCUACGAACAGCUCUACGUGGAUUACAAUCAAAUAUCAAGUCAAUGUGAAAUUCUAAAAUCUAAAAAUGAAAAUAAUGAUGAUAUUAAUAGGGAAAAAAUGCCAAAAAUAAGUCUUGCCUUACAAACGGAACCCAUAGCCGUCCAAGAAAAUUCUGUUCAGGCCAAUAUAAACGAUGAAACACUCAUAAUUAUAACAAAAAAAGUGAAAAAUAUUCUCAAAAAUAUUUCCCUAACAGCACAUGAUGAUGAAACAAUAUUUGAAGUUGUGGCAAAACAAUAUGUCGAUAUAAAAUGGAAAAAGGAUGUUUUAGAGAGAAAACUCACGGAAUUAACGCGCGAAUUAAAGCAAACUGAGGAAACAAAAGAAUCAUUACAAUUAGAAUGCGAUGAUAUGCAAUCAAACAUUGAUUCAUUAAUUAUUGAAAUUCAACAUCUCAAGUCAAAUUUACCAUCGAUACCGGAAGCGAGUGAGGAGCGUAUCGCAUCACUUGAAAAUGAAACCGAAACACUUCAGGCCGAAUUGAAAAAAUACGAGGACGAAAUUAAACAUUUAAGACAGAAAAAUGCCGAUUUAACAACAGGUGGAAAAAAAGAUGUUGAAAAUACGCACAGAAAUCAUGGAAACUUUCAAACUGAACUCCAAACAAUAAAUGAACAACCUGAAAACGAACCACCAAGAGACGAAGAUGAAGAAAAACUGUUCCAAAAAUUAGAAUUAUCCAUGGCAAAGAACGAUGAAUUAAGAAAAAGAAUCGAAAUGCUCGAAAAUGAUCAAAGACAAACGCAAGAACAAUUGAGAAUGUCUUUGGAAAAAUGCAAAGGACUCGACGAGAAUAUUGAACUAAUUGAGGAAUUAAAACUCGAUCUCGACAAUGUUAAACGUGAAUUAAAAUCAUCAAUAUCACAUUGUAAAAUACUCGAGAAUAAUUUACAAGAAAUGCAAAAAAUGAAGGAAGAAAUGGAAAAUGAUAAUAAAAUAUUGUCACGUGAAAUUGAAAGACUUCAAUCUGAUUUAUCGAUAUUAAAAGAAUCACAAGAGAAAAAUGAGGAUAAUAAUCUACUCAGUGAUCUUCGUGAUCAACUCUAUAAAGUAAACAGCGAUAAAGACGAUUUAGAAUACGAUAUUCUCAAUAUGAGAAAAGAACUCGACAACACGAUAAAUCAAUUAGAAUUCAAAGAGACCGAAUUCGAGAAUUUACAGCAACUUAUCGAUGAAUUACAACAGGAAAAUCGAAAAAUACAAACAGAAAAUGACAAUUUAAAAAAGGAGACCAACACAUUCGUGGAGCAAUUAACAUCCCUUCAAAAUGAAUCGAGUGAAAAAGUUGAAUUACUAAAUACUGAGAAAUUUUUACUCGAACAGGAAUAUUCGACGUUGAAGGAAGAGACUGACAAGGAGAAACUUGAAUUAAUCGAAACAAGAAAUAAAUUAAUAAACUCAGAGGAAAAAAUAUCCCUCCUGGAGAAUUCACUCUCAAAUUUGAAAUUCGAAACACUUUCAAAUAAUGAAAAUCAAAGCAAAACGAAUGAGGUUACAAAAAAAUUGGAAGAAGAACUAAGAAUCGUUAAUUUGGAAAAGGAAAAUUUGUUCCUCGAUCUAGAAGCAAAAAUAGCGCAAAUUCUCUCAAAGGAAGAAGAAUUAUCGACUCUACGUCAACAGUAUUCGAAACUAGAAAUCGAAGCUCAAAAUUCCCAAGAGAAAAACGAAACGAAUCAAUUAAAAACCGAAAUCGAGGAACUGAGUCAAAAAUUAGAAAAUUCUUUAGAAAAGAAUAGAGAAUCGUCAACGAUGGCAAGGGAAACAAUUGAAAGUUUAUCGCAACUGAUUCGCGACAAGGACAAUGAAAUUGAAAAAUUAAAGAAUCAUCAAACAAACGAAAUUGAAAAUGAAUUAUCAUCGAUAAAAAAUGAACGUGACGAAUUAGUGAAACUCGUGCAAAUAAAACAUAACGAGAGUCUACAAUAUCACAGCGAAAUUCAACGUUUAAAUCAAUUAUUAAAUGAGCAAUUAAUCAGUAUUCAUAAAUUAAUUGCCGAACGUGAUUUCAAUUUAGAAGGAAUUAAAGAAAAGGAAACGGAAAUUCUUUGGGCACAAAAUGAACUUAAAGUUGUUAGGCAAAAAUUGAAAGACAUCGAAGAAUCAAAUGAUGGGGAGAAAUGUGGUAUUGUUGAGCAUUCCGUUCAAAUAGCGCAAAUGGCAAUUUUCAGUGAAAAAUGUAAAGCACUCGAGGCAGCAUUAAUUCAGGAGCAAAAUAAUAAUCGUCUUCUUCAAAAUCAAUUGAAUGAUUCACAAAAUAAGGAGCAAAGCAGUGCAAAGGAUUUGGAGAGAUUGAGAUGUCAUUUAAUGGAAAUUGAAGCGAGUUAUACGCAAGAAUUAUUGCAGACCGAGGAAAUAAGAAGAGAUUUGGAAGCGAAAUUAAUUCAAGCUGAGGAGAAAGUUAAGAAUAGUUCGACAGUUUAUACAUCUGCCAGUAUUAGAGCGAAUCAACAAGUUGAAACGAUGCAACAACAAAUGGCAUUAAUCGUUCAGCAAAGGGACGAUAUUCAAAAUAAAUUAUCAGCUGCCGAGGAUAAAAUACUCUCAUCCACUGCGUCGUUGACGAAUCUUCAAUUUGUUCUCGAACAAUUCCAAAGAGAUAAAGAAAAAGAUAUUCAAGCAGGAACAGAGAAAAUUCGUCAACAACUUAAUGAGUCCUACAGGCAGCAGGAAAAUUUGUCCAUUGAAAUUUCAAGUCUAAAGGAGCAAUUGGCAGAGGCGAAGGAAUGCCUACUGGCAGCCUCGAGAUUGAGUGAAGAAUUAGACAAGAAGAGUGAAAAAAUUGGACAACUGAAUCAAGAAGUUGCGCAAUUGACUCUUUUGGUGAACACUGCCGAUGAAAGAAUUCAGGAAGCAAACAAAAGUGGUGAAGGAAAAGUUGAUAAAAAUCUUGUGAAAAAUUUGCUUUUGGGUUAUUUGACAUCGUCAGCUAAUGAUAAAACUUCGGUAAUGAGGGUAUUUUCAACUGUUUUGGAUUUCAACGAUUCCGAAAGGGAGAAAACUGGUCUAAACAGUUCGGCUGCGAAAAAUAGUUGGUUCUCAAAUGUUUUACACAGCGGAGGAAACGUGCCAAACAAGGACGCGGAAGCUUCAUUGUCAGCGGCUUUUGUUAAAUUCUUGGAAAGCGAAUCAGCACCAAAAAAUCAAUUACCAGCUUUACCGAUUUCUAAUACUCCAUUAACUAAACCGGGUCACAGCAGGCAACAUUCAACAUCAUCAACGCAGUCGACACUCCUUUUAUCCAACAUUAAUUUGCCAACGUUUCCAGAUUUUGUUCCAGCAAGAAAUACAGGAUCGAUUCUGAAAGAAGUUUUAAAAGACAGCUGAUAUUGAAAACACGUUUCUUUUUGUCUGCUCCUUAUUAGUGAACAACUAUAUCAUAAAAGAUAUCACCAAUUAUGGAUUCCAAUAAAUUUUAAGAAGCAUUUGAAACCGAAGCAACAAGAAAACUUCCGAUAAAAAUAAUUAUUUUUAAGUAUUAUUAUUAUUACUAAUAUUAUAAUUAUCAUUACUGUUAAAUAGUGACAAAAAAAAAUUCGAAAAAGUCUCCAAAUUUAGUCGCCGAAGAGUUUGUUCCAAAAUUCAUCGAUUUUCUUUAUUUUCUUAAUCAUUUUAUUGUUUCUAUUUAUUUCAUUUCAAAAAUGUAAGUGGCGAAAAAAUAUUUUAAAAAAACAGCAUUGAUUGCUGGAUAAAAAAGUUCAAUUGAAUAUUA